AGGAGCGAGGACGUUAGCCGGGCAACGUCUACCUUUCAAACUACACGUAACUCGCGAGCUUGCGAGUGUUUCGUGAGCCUCUCCUCUUAUUUUCCGCUUUUUCUUUCUUUUUUGCCGAACAUUGCCUCUCCUGCAGGCGACAGAGUGUACGCCGAAGAAAAGUUUUUCAUGCAAGAACUUUCCACGUUUGUUUGGUUGCUUUUUCGAAGCUGGCAUGAACUUGUGAUUGCGCUUUCUUUUGCUGUACUCUCCGCACAACUUCUGCUCUGGCCAGGAAGUCGUAGACAGCUUUCCGGUAGAGUUAACGCGCCGUCGAGAGGCAAAUUGGCGCAAGCUGAGCUUUGUAAGCGUCCACGAGAGAGAGAGAGAGAGAGAUAGAGAGAGAAGACCGUGACCACAGGACAGCGACAGUCCAUUAACGACCAAUUGGAGGCUUGCGAGAACGCGUUUUUGACUGAGCUAGCAGGUGUCAACAAAUAAACCAGUUGCUGCUACUGCUGUUACUAUUGCUCUAGUCAUUCUGGCAAAAAUAUGUCAGUACUGGGCCGACAAGCGGCCCUGAAACGGAUCAGUCGCCACAGAUUUACCAAACGCAAUGAUUACCAAUCACCGGUCAAGCCGCACCGAGAGCCUAACGACAGCAACCAGUUUUUUCCAGCGGCAUGCUGUACGUCAUCUAGCCGGCAGAUCAGCUAUUCUAUACUUGUGAUAGGCCCGCGUCUCUUGGCAAUCUACUAACUCGCAAAACAAACAUCUCGCCUGACCACGAUAAAAAAAGAGAAAAGGCCAACGAGAACGAAAUUAAAAAGAACAAGGAUCACAAGUGGAAAGGACGGAGUCAACGAAAAGCGGAGAAGGCGAGCAUCGCCCGAAGCCAACUAUUAUGCAAAACAAUCGGAGCCUGUUGGACGAGGGCGCAAACCCUCUGAAGGACCUGACACACGCGAAUCUGAGCGAGCCACUAAAGCAGCACAAUGCCAAUGCCGUUAAGCUCGUGCAAACCGUAUCGGAGUUUGCGCAAUCGUUGGGUGGUGCUUUGGAGUGUCAUGGACAAAAUGUCAUUCGGCUGGUUGAUGAUUUUCGUGGACGUACAACCGACUCGAGAGGUGAUGCCGGCGGGAUGCGCCGCGUUUGGGACAGCCUGCUCAGGCAAGUGGAAGCUGAUGCUACCGCACAGCUUGACCUUGCAUCUUUGCUACAACAACAAUUGUCCAGACCUGCACUCGAAGGUUGCUUUCAUCGGAAAGUACAACACAGAAAGGUGUUCGGGCACCGCGAGGCGUUUGAGCAAGUGGUGGCAAAGUCGGAAGAAAAGCUGCAGCGCGCUCGCGCGGAGUACAAGCGCACCUACGGAGCGCUGUUGGUGACUCCAGAGCCGAGUCAAGACUCGGAGCUGAAGCGCGCCUACCUGGAGGCACACAAUGCUUUCGUGCUGCAAUUACGGGCCACCAACGCUAUCGCUGAGCGCUAUCAGUUCCACUGUCUGCCCAAUUUGCUCGGCGAGGUAGCCGAGGUCUACGAGGAGCUCUGCAAUCUCACCUGCAACUGCAUCUCCGGCAUAUCAGAGGCAGCUAAUGAGCGCAUUAACGAGCAGGCCAGAAGGUACCAAGCACUCGCCAAGGAAGUGCGAACAAUUAAUCCUCAGUCGGAUUUGCAGAUUUUAGCACGAAGCCUAUCGACAAUAGCACAGCCACGUAAACCAGCAAAACGGUUGUUCGUGCCACUGACGCCACCCGAACAGUCAAGCAGUGAUCGCAUAAACAGUGUGCCUGCUUUGAGGGACGAACUUGUACCCACUGGGAGCAAUAGUCUUUCCAUGAUCGAGGAGGAUCUCCAGGUUGAAGCUGAUAGACUCGCUCAGGAAAUCGCUCAUAUACAAGAUGCGCUUGACACUCUUAAUCGCAUGCAGCGAAAGAGUGCUGAAGGCAAUCUCCACACGAAGGUAGUCGAAUUACAAGAAGACAUUUCAAUUAAACGCUUCGAUUUAGGAGUAGCGCAAUUACAGUUAUCAGCUAUCCAUGCUCAAAAAGAGUUAUUUGGUGGCGGCAGCGCCGGAGCUGAAGCAGCAAUGCCCGACGGAAUUGGAAAUCGAAAAUUAUCAAAUGGUUCAACUGGUAGUAAUACAAAACAUAAAUGGUUAAAAGCUUUCAAAAGUCUGAAAACUACACCGACAACUCCUCCGCCUAAUGAGAAAGGAAAACAAGCAAUGUACCAUGCUGUUUCCUCCGUGGUCGCCAUGUCCAGGAAAAAUCUGGAAUCGGAGAGCGGCGGUCACCAGUGGCGCGAGUACACCUACCGCAAGAUAACGCCGUGCGAUGCCUGUGGCCAAGUGUUGCGCGGUCACGCUCGCCAGGGUUACCGAUGCCGAAACUGCAAGGCGAAUGCUCACGCCGACUGCAUGAGUUCGAUACAGCCGCCGAAUUGUCCAAGUCUGCAGUCCAAGCGCGGCGCUGGAAUACCCUUGUUGCGCAGGCAGAAAAGCACCGCGCCACCCGUCGAAGAGACAGCCACGACCGAUCAAAAUGUGGACGCCAUAUACCAGGUGCUGAAGCAGGCUGGCGAAAUACGUGGCAACUCGGCAAACUCACCACCUACGCCUCCUACGGCUGGUCAUCCUCCCCCCGGUGCAGCACCUUCGUCGUCAGCGAGGACAACUACCUCCUCCCAACCUUGUUCCUCGUCUACCUCUGCACCACACAGUCCGCAGCGUCGCCGAGAGCGGCUUAAUCUGCGCAUGAAAAGUUUGAGUCUGGACUCGCCGGAAGGCUCAGCUCACGUACGUCAUCGACCACGAGAUUACCCCGGUACAGGUCAACGCGAUUCGUCGACUCCGCCCCGACGAUCCGACAGUGGCAGUAUUAACCGAUUGUCGGCGCCAUGCAGUCCAGGUCAAAGCAUCCAUGGCAUUCACAAGCAACAUUUACGAGGCACUAUACGAAUGUCAAGUGUUGAAUUGCCUGAUGACAACGAAAAGUCGUACUCUUCUGCGAGCACUUCGCCUUGUCCUUCGCCUCAUAUGAACAAUCAAAAUCAUUCGAAUCCGGCUGGCAAACGUGUCCUACCGCCAAAUAAUCUUUACGUUGUUUUGUACAAUUUCGAAGCUCGACAUCGUGACGAGCUUGACCUUAAGUAAGUCAUAUUGAUAUUUUCAUUAUCAAUAAAUAUUGCGUGAUAUUUUUUGAGAUUUACACGUGUAGCAAAGAUGUAGGGCUGCUUACGUGUUAUAUAAUACUUCUGUAAAUAGCGAUACUUGUAUAGAAAGUAUUUUUUUUCUCGAUGUCUUUGUUGUACUUCUAUAUAUAAAUCUUAUAAGAUUAUACAUUCGAAUGGUAUUAAACAGACAAGUUUUCAAAUUUCCGCCCGUAAUAUUCUUGAAAGAGACUUAAGCAGAGUUUAGGCGAGUUAUCGUUUCUAUUAUUUGUUCGGUGCUACUGUAGAUAUUCACAAGGUUUAUAAGUGUUAGACUGUAAGACUAUAUUUAAUUUUCUUCAAUAAAUUUGAACUUGAAAUAAAAUACAAUUUGUCUAAUUUUUGAAGCUAUAUAAACAAUCAUUAACAAAUGAUUAUACCAUUUUCGUCCUAACAAUCGUUUAAUUUUCUCUAGCUUGUUUGAAAUAAUAGGCGGAGCAAAUAUAUGAUUUCAAAUAUUCUAAUAUAUUAUCAGUGAAAAAUCAAUACGAAGUACAUUAAGACUAUUCUCUCUCUAUUCUAUUUUAUUCUAUUCUAUUUACGACUGUUUCGAAAUAUUUAAUAAUUAUUGACGUUUAAUUAUUUAAGUUUACUGCUAAUUAUUAAACAAAAAUACAUUGAUUGAGAAUAGUAGAACUAAUACAAUAGAGCCGGCUAUAAAGUAACUGUUAUAGACAAAUCCGACAAAGAUUGGUGGAAAGGAAAAUGUUUAGGUGGACGGGCGGGUUUUU